rnacentral:lncRNA from 1 species
AUAUGUAAAGCUCACUUGAGCUAUUAGUAUUAAAUGCAUUAAAUAAUCAAGUUAAACAAAUUAAUUUCUUUUCAACUUUUAAUAUAAUGUAACUUUUGAAACAUGUCAAUCUUUUUGUUUUUGACUUUACACAUGCCAAUAUAACUUUUUGAAAAAUACAUAUAACCUCUAUAAUUGAAAAAAUAAAUAAAAAAUAACUACAUGCAAUCUUUUUGUUUUUUGACAUUUCACAUGCCAAUUUGCAUCAUAUGACUUUGAGAGCAAUCUUAACUGCAUGUAGUAUAAUAUGAUGAAUAAUAAUUUUAUAAAGUUGUAAAUGGUAACACCUCUCAUUGUUAUUGGAAAGUGCAAAUUCCCUUAAACUAAUGAGAAAUUUGUCAUUUUCAAUUCCUUUUCUCAAAUUCACUUAAUAUUAUCGGUUACUAAUAUGGAUCGGUCUGAUUUAUUAUGAGUGCAUUACUCAUUCAUACUCUCUUUUAAAAUUAGUGAUACCUUCCAUAUUCUUCAAUGCUUAAUCUUCAAAUAUAAAUACACCUCACCUAUUUGUAUUUUAUGCAACUUUCAUUCAACCCCAGCAAAUCAUGAGAUAUGGGUGCUACAUGUAUUCCUUUUGUCAUUUAUUUUCAUAUCUUGCAUCCAAACUUGCUCUGAUAAAUUACUAUUUGAGUUUUUAAUUGGCGGAAACUAAUAACAUAACAUUUGAGUUAAAUUAUGUAAUAAUUUUUUAUUUAUUAUGAAAUCUUUAGAAAAAUCAAAUCUGAUUCAUCAUAGAGACUACAAAGUACAAAUAUCUUUAACCCAAAUCAUGAAAACAAAUAUCAUGAAUAUUUAUAAUUUAACUUUUUAAAAAUAUUAUUUGUGCUUUACUUUUUAAAGCUAUGAUUAUAAUAACUUUUAAAAUUUCAGUCCUACUAUUAUCAUUAGUGCAUAUUUUAAAGUUAUUACCUUCCUUUAAUAUUUAUUAUUUUAAAAUUAUUUUCUUAUAGCUUUCUUACCUUCAUAUAAAUUUAAAUAUCACACCUAAAAAAUAUAACUUAAAAAUUCUUUUAAAAAAAAUAUAACUUAAAAACGAACCCGUGCAACGCACGGGUUUAAUUUCUAGUAUA